AAUAAUUUGGCAGAUAUAAUGCAUAUGAUUUAGGUUCAUAGAAUAACUAUAUAGUUAAUUAUUA
rnacentral:tRNA from 1 species